rnacentral:rRNA from 1 species
UACGUAGGGUGCGAGCGUUAAUCGGAAUUACUGGGCGUAAAGCGUGCGCAGGCGGUGAGCUGUGUCCGAUGUGAAAGCCCCGGGCUUAACCUGGGAAUGGCAUUGGAAACUGGCUCGCUGGAGUGUGGCAGAGGGGGGUGGAAUUCCGCGUGUAGCAGUGAAAUGCGUAGAGUAUUAGGAAGAACACCAGUGGCGAAGGCGGCUCACUGGUCCGGUACUGACGCUGAGGUGCGAAAGCGUGGGGAGCAAACAGG